UGGGGAAUAUUGCACAAUGGGCGCAAGCCUGAUGCAGCGACGCCGCGUGGGGGAUGAAGGCCUUCGGGUUGUAAACUCCUUUCAACCAUGACGAAGCAUUAUGUGACGGUAGUGGUAGAAGAAGCACCGGCUAACUACGUGCCAGCAGCCGCGGUAAUACGUAGGGUGCGAGCGUUGUCCGGAAUUACUGGGCGUAAAGAGCUCGUAGGUGGUUUGUCGCGUCGUCUGUGAAAUUCCGGGGCUUAACUCCGGGCGUGCAGGCGAUACGGGCAUAACUUGAGUGCUGUAGGGGAGACUGGAAUUCCUGGUGUAGCGGUGAAAUGCGCAGAUAUCAGGAGGAACACCGAUGGCGAAGGCAGGUCUCUGGGCAGUAACUGACGCUGAGGAGCGAAAGCAUGGGUAGCGAACA
rnacentral:rRNA from 1 species